rnacentral:rRNA from 1 species
CGAAAGCGUAUAUUAAAAUUGUUGCAGUUAAAAAGCUCGUAGUUGGAUUUCUGGUCACCUGUGCGCGAUCUGCAGUCGUUAGACUGUGUGUGUCGCUGCGCGGGUGCCAUCCCGCUGGAACUUUUGUCUCGCCUUCACUGGCUGAGACUUAAGGUUCAGUUUAUUACUUUGAAAAAUUAGAGUGUUUAAAGCAGGCUUGCGCUAUUGAAUACAUUAGCAUGGAAUAAUAAUUUUAGGACUUUCGUUCUAUUUUGUUGGUCAUAGAAAGGAGGUAAUGAUUGAUAGGGAUAGUUGGGGGUGGCUAGUAUUUAACGGCCAGAGGUGAAAUUCUAUGAUCCGUUAAAGACUACCUAAAGCGAAAGCAUUCACCAAGGAUGUCUUCUUUAAUCAAGAACGAAAGUUGGGGGAUCGAAG